CGAAGACGAUCACGUCGAAGGAACUCACGUUCGGGCCUUUUCGUCGCCUUCGCUCUGCCCUUCUUCUUCUCGCAGAGAUGUUUAUUACAGAAUUGGGUUGAUUUGCCUGAUUAAGGGAUGGUUUGGCGAUUAUUUCUUGGUUUGUAGCGUUAAUUGAAUCGAUUUCGAACUGAUUAGUAUUCCUAAAAUCGUGAUUGCCUUUUGAGAACGAUCUGAUCCGGCUUUUGGUGAAAGAUUGUUUGGGUUGGGUUACAUUGGACAGUAGUCGAGGGGAAUUCAGCAGAUUUUAGGGCAAAUACAUAAACAAGAUUUUUCUACGCUUACAAUGGAAUUGGAGAAUUGUCAAGAACUGUAAUAGAGCAGAACUGUAGGGCACCGACUGGUCUGACCUAUUAAGAAUUUAUUUAAACCAACUGUUGGGGAACACAUAAUGAACUCUGCCAUGUGACAUCUUUGCUGUAUAUAUGGCAUUCCCUUCUUUUUCAUAUUUGAAAUUCUUCCCUCUGCUUUCUGUGGUAGCCCUGUAGUUUUUCCACAUUUCAUGAAGAAAAAGAGAAGAACAACUACCCAAAAGUUCUUAUACGAAAGAGCUUAACUGAUAGGACCCUUUUGUAGAUAGACGUUGGACCGGUGAGUAGGGUCUAAGACCGUCUCGACGAUGUCGAACAUAAAAUCUACUGUCAGCUGAUCUUUCUAGUGGAGAGGAUUUUUUUUCCUCAGACAAUUAAACAUAAAUGCAGCAGUAGCAAACAUAUAUUUGAUCCCAGACUCUUGAGGGAUGUGAGAUGUUCUUGGAAGAUGAGAAAGAGAAGAGUCGUAUACUUUCAUGGAGGAAAAUGCUAAUUUAACUCUCCUAUAACUCCUUGAAAAGGCCUGAGAUUGAUCCAGACAACAAAUCAAGAGGUCAUGAACUUGCCUCAUAUUAUGACACCUUGUAGAAACCUCUUAGUUAAAUUGACCCCUUAGAACAUAAAGAUCGAGAAAAGGCUUGGAACCGAUAACUCCUUUGCAGCUGUUGAGUUCAGAGCAUUAUGGCUACCCAUGGAAUUGGAAACCUUGACAUGUGACGAUGGGGAUUCGAGUAGCUUUGUGUUGGCUGUGGUGCUUGUGGAUAUGAACUGAACUUGAGCUCUUCUAACCGCAAUAUAUCGACCAUUGGCUCUAAAUAUGGAAAAUCAAUAAAGCGAGG